CCCUUUUCUUCCUUAAUAAUAAUUAUUGUUUUUGUUGUAGUUUGUUUUUUGAGAUGCUCUGUUGUAUGGGUAUUUUUCGUCUUUCUCUUUGGGGUAUUAUUUUUAUUGGGAGCAUCAGAAAUUUCUUGGGGGUAAAGGUGAUUUGGAGUUCUAAAAUAAAUUGAAUAGCCACGCGCAAUGAUACUUAUUUCCUUCGAAGUUGGUUCAGAUAGUUUUUUACUUCAAAGCAUGAACUGCAGAUUUUUAUUUUGCUGAUUUGAUCUGUAAAAUAUGUUAAAUCCUCUUCUUCAUCGGAUAGUCAUUUCAGGUAUGAAUAUUUAGUUUUCCUCUGUUUUUGCCUUUUCAUGUCUUUUUUUGUUUCAUAUCUAUGCUUCUCUACUUGUAUUAUGUACACGCCUCUGUACAUGUUUUUUUGGUUUUCAAGAUUGAUUGGUUCCACUGAUCUUGUAUUAUAUAUAUUAAUUCGAAAUCUGAAACUGCUUUUAUGUUUUUUGAACAUCAUGCUUCGGAUUUUUCUGUUUUGUCAUAAAGAAUCUUGUAUCCUGUACACAUUUAAGUUUUGUGCUAUUGUUAAUUUUCCCUAUUCUGCUUGGAGGAUAUCCCUACCAUAUCCCAAUUCUGAUUGGUUCCACUCAUCUUGUAAUAUAUAUAUUAAUUCGAAAUCUGAAACUGCUUUUAUGUUUUUUGAACAUCAUGCUUCGGCUUUCUCUCUUUUAAUUUAAUGUUUAUGGCUUUUCACUUGUA